UUAUGGACACUCUGUUAUUUUUAUGGAAAUUACAAAAGAGCAUGAAACAUUUAAGAGUUGUAGUGGCAGAGCAGCCUUGCGAUUCUCUAAAAGUCAAACAAGAACUCGCAUCUCACUACGAAAUUCUCCAUCACUUCGCAUUCGCAAUAGAAUGACCUUGAAUUGGCAUUCUGUAAACACUAAUCUUAAUUACCCUGCCUCGAGCGAAGUGAAGUGACAACAAAGUUUGUUUAUACUACUACUAGGGAUAGCCGUUAACACGCAAAUGUAAAUCGAAGCUUACCGGUUUCAGUUUUUCGUUGUAUUUAUAAGCAUUCUGUAAGAAAAUACUAUGAAUUUAAGCUUUGGUGUUAAAGCCACAUCUAAUUUAACUAAAAAGAAAAUUAAAAGUCAUAUAUUUAUGAUAUUAAUUGUAAUUUCUGGCUGCACGCUAAGUUCCUUUGCGUGCACUAGCGAAUACCAGAAUUAAAAAACAAAAUUUUAAUUGUUUUCAAAACAAUCUCGAGCGGUCGGAAGUUUUUAUUUUACUUUUUCUAGAUUUUUUUGUUACUUUGUGAGUGAAUUUAACGUUAAAUCAAAAUUAUGAGAUUUAACGAGCGUUCUUCUCAUCCGACAUUGGUGCAAAUAGAGGCAUUGAUAGACGUUUUGGAUUAAAAGCUAGCGAAACAAAAGGUUUAAUCGUAUCUCAACAUGUUCAAUAAGAGAACAAGGAUAUAAAAAAAAUAUAGGAACUAAAUUCUCUUGCCAGAUAUGAUCCAUUCCCGGAACUACAACAGAUUGAAAAUACUAAUCCACAUCAUCAGAAUAUUGUAAGGAGAAUUUAUUGCCAACUCGGAAAAUGUAUCUGUAUUGGAACAAUCCCAAACAUCCUACAGCAUUGCAUCAAGAAUCUCCUAUUUUGCAGUCAUCCUCCCCUAACUAAAUGCAAGUGACUUCUACUUAUUGUGAUGCUACUACUAGUAGCUCCAGCCACAGUAGGUCUCAUGUUAGUCAAGAGAUUGGGUUGUUAGCACCUCAACACCUGACCUGCUAUUUCACCACUUUUCAAUGAAAAGCAGAGUAUACUCAAAUUACAACAAAUUACACAGUACCAGGAUAUAUAACUUAAACAACCAUGGGGGAAUAAAUAGUCGACAGUCUGCAAGAAGGAUGAACUGUUGGUGGAAUUAGCAUAUGCAGCUAGGAAUUUUAAACCUGUAUUUCCACAUAUUACUGAUGCAAACAAAUUUCAAAAUUAUUGUAUAUAACUAUUGAAUAAAACUAUAAUAAAACUAUUUUUAUAAAUCAUUAA